GUGUUUAAUAUGUUAAACUUCUAAAAGAAGAACCCUCUUCCUGGUUCACUGGGGGUGAACUGGCCCUGUACCCUUCACUUGACUCCCUCACUGCCUGUGAUGUGCCAUGCAAUAGCAGAGCAUCAGACAGACCAUUAAUGACAGGAACAGUCAUGGAGUCAUGCAGGCUAUCCCAGGGGUAGGGAGCAGGCAAGGCAGGGUUCUAGGUUCUGUACCUUGUGACAGCCGGACCGGUUUGGUGACAGGGACACCGUCGAU